rnacentral:tRNA from 1 species
AGCCCUGAGGUGUACGGCACGUAAGAUUGCAAAUCCUAAAGAGCAGACGGAGAGUCUGCCGGGGCUU